rnacentral:rRNA from 1 species
UACGUAGGUGGCAAGCGUUGUCCGGAUUUAUUGGGCGUAAAGAGCGCGCAGGCGGUUCGUUAAGUCCGAGGUGAAAUCUCCCGGCUCAACUGGGAGGGGUCUUCGGAUACUGGCGGACUUGAGGAGUGCAGAGGUGAGUGGAAUUCUCGGUGUAGUGGUGAAAUGCGUAGAUAUCAGGAGGAACACCGGUGGCGAAGGCGGCGUUCUGGACUGCAACUGACACUGAGGAACGAAAGCCAGGGGAGCAAACGGG